GAUGAACGCUAGCUACAGGCUUAACACAUGCAAGUCGAGGGGCAGCACUAGGUAGCAAUACUGAGGUGGCGACCGGCGCACGGGUGCGUAACGCGUAUCCAACCUUCCCGUUACUCUUGGAAAGCCUUCCGAAAGGGAGAUUAAUACAAGAUGGUAUUCAAAUUCCGCAUGUUAUUUGAAUUAAAGAUUUAUCGGUAACGGAUGGGGAUGCGUGACAUUAGAUAGUAGGCGGGGUAAUAGCUCACCAAGGCGACGAUGGGUAGCCGGCCUGAGAGGGUGAACGGCCACACUGGAACUGAGACACGGUCCAG
rnacentral:rRNA from 1 species